rnacentral:tRNA from 1 species
UGCAGGAGUGGUGAAACUGGCAGACACGCUAGACUUAGGAUCUAGUGCUUUUGGCUUGUGGGUUCGAGUCCCACCUUCUGCAA